AUUGAACGCUGGCGGCAGGCCUAACACAUGCAAGUCGAGCGAGCGGCGGACGGGUGAGUAAUGUCUGGGAAACUGCCUGAUGGAGGGGGAUAACUACUGGAAACGGUAGCUAAUACCGCAUACCAUCAGAUGUGCCCAGAUGGGAUUAGCUAGUAGGUGGGGUAACGGCUCACCUAGGCGACGAUCCCUAGCUGGUCUGGGAGGAUGACCAGCCACACUGGAACUGACACACUGACCAGACUCCUACGGGAGGCCGCAGUGGGGAAUAUUGCACAAUGGACGAAAGCCUGAUGCAGCCAUGCAGCGUAUGUGAAGAAGGCCUUCGGGUUGUAAAGCACUUUCAGCGGGGAGGCGUUACCCGAAGAAGAAGCACCGGCUUACUCCGUGCCAGCAGCCGCGGUAAUAC
rnacentral:rRNA from 1 species